UACGUAGGCAGCAAGCGUUGUUCGGAGUUACUGGGCGUAAAGGGUGUGUAGGCGGUUAUUUAAGUUUGGUGUGAAAUCUCCCGGCUCAACCGGGAGGGUGCGCCGAAUACUGAAUGACUUGGAGUGCGGGAGAGGAAAGUGGAAUUUACGGUGUAGCGGUGAAAUGCGUAGAUAUCGUAAGGAAGACCAGUGGCGAAGGCGGGUCUCUGGACAGUUCCUGACGCUGAGGCACGAAGGUCAGGGGAGCAAACGGG
rnacentral:rRNA from 1 species